rnacentral:rRNA from 1 species
UACGGGGGGGGCAAGCGUUGUUCGGAAUUACUGGGCGUAAAGGGCUUGUAGGUGGCCAACUAAGUCAGACGUGAAAUCCCUCGGCUUAACCGGGGAACUGCGUCUGAUACUGGAUGGCUUGAGUGUGGGAGAGGGAUGCGGAAUUCCAGGUGUAGCGGUGAAAUGCGCAGAUAUCAGGAGGAACACCGGUGGCGAAGGCGGGUCUCUGGGCCGAUAUUGACGCUGGAGGAGCGAAAGCGUGGGGAGCGAACAGG